rnacentral:rRNA from 1 species
GUGGGGAAUCUUCCGCAAUGGACGAAAGUCUGACGGAGCAACGCCGCGUGAGUGAAGAAGGUUUUCGGAUCGUAAAGCUCUUUCGUUAGGGACGAACGUGCUCUUUGUGAAUAAUGAGGAGUAAUGACGGUACCUAAAUAAGAAGCCACGGCUAACUACGUGCCAGCAGCCGCGGUAAUACGUAGGUGGCAAGCGUUGUCCGGAAUUAUUGGGCGUAAAGCGCGCGCAGGCGGGAUAUCAAGUCUGUCUUAAAAGUGCGAGGCUCAACCUCGUGAGGGGACAGAAACUGGUAUUCUUGAGUGUCGGAGAGGAAAGUGGAAUUCCAAGUGUAGCGGUGAAAUGCGUAGAGAUUUGGAAGAACACCAGUGGCGAAGGCGACUUUCUGGACGAUGUCUGACGCUGAGGCGCGAAAGCCAGGGGAGCAAACGGGAUUAGAAACCCGGGUAGUCC